rnacentral:rRNA from 1 species
AAGCGGUGGAUGAUGUGGUUUAAUUCGAUGCAACGCGAAAACCUUACCACCUUUGACAUGUACGGAACCCUUUAGAGAUAGAGGGGUGCUCGAAAGAGAGCCGUAACACAGGUGCUGCAUGGCUGUCGUCAGCUCGUGUCGUGAGAUGUUGGGUUAAGUCCCGCAACGAGCGCAACCCUUGUCAUUAGUUGCUACAUUCAGUUGGGCACUCUAAUGAGACUGCCGGUGACAAGCCGGAGGAAGGUGGGGAUGACGUCAAGUCCUCAUGGCCCUUAUAGGUGGGGCUACACACGUCAUACAAUGGCUGGUACAAAGGGUUGCCAACCCGCGAGGGGGAGCCAAUCCCAUAAAGCCAGUCGUAGUCCGGAUCGUAGUCUGCAACUCGACUACGUGAAGUCGGAAUCGCUAGUAAUCGUGGAUCAGAAUGUCACGGUGAAUACGUUCCCGGGUCUU